rnacentral:lncRNA from 1 species
AGGGCUGACAUCGGUAUUACAUCCUGGGGAGGCGACGUAACAUUAGUGAGGGGAAAAAAAACAAGAAACUUAACAUCAUUAGGAAUUAUAGCUUCAGCUAUUUAAACAUGUCUGGUGUGGCAUCCAAAAUACUGUUCUUCAACGUGAAAUAACUUAAUGAUCCUACAUACGCAGGAUAGAAGUGUAGGAAGCUCAUUUUCAUCAUUAUCACACACUUAAAGGGUAGAGAAGAAACUCUGAAAAGGUGUGGCAAAUGUGGAGAAAAAGAGUGGGAAGAAUUAAAAAGUGAUUUAAGGGUGCAAGAAAUGGAUGUAGGGAAACAUGAGAAAAGGAGAAUAUUGCUAAAGAAGAGAAAUCUCAGCCCACCAAAGCAAAACCCAGCCUGAGCAAAGAUAAAAUGGAAGAAUAACUGGGAAAAGAGCAAUUAAGGAAACACCUAAAUCCUUUCAGAGACUCAAACAUCCAUUGUGAGUAUCAGGCUU